UGCAAGUCGUACGCACUGGCCCAACUGAUUGAUGGUGCUUGCACCUGAUUGACGAUGGAUCACCAGUGAGUGGCGGACGGGUGAGUAACACGUAGGUAACCUGCCCCGGAGCGGGGGAUAACAUUUGGAAACAGAUGCUAAUACCGCAUAACAACAAAAGCCGCAUGGCUUUUGUUUGAAAGAUGGCUUUGGCUAUCACUCUGGGAUGGACCUGCGGUGCAUUAGCUAGUUGGUAAGGUAACGGCUUACCAAGGCGAUGAUGCAUAGCCGAGUUGAGAGACUGAUCGGCCACAAUGGAACUGAGACACGGUCCAUACUCCUACGGGAGGCAGCAGUAGGGAAUCUUCCACAAUGGGCGCAAGCCUGAUGGAGCAACACCGCGUGAGUGAAGAAGGGUUUCGGCUCGUAAAGCUCUGUUGUUGGAGAAGAACGUGCGUGAGAGUAACUGUUCACGCAGUGACGGUAUCCAACCAGAAAGUCACGGCUAACUACGUGCCAGCAGCCGCGGUAAUACGUAGGUGGCAAGCGUUAUCCGGAUUUAUUGGGCGUAAAGCGAGCGCAGGCGGUUGCUUAGGUCUGAUGUGAAAGCCUUCGGCUUAACCGAAGAAGUGCAUCGGAAACCGGGCGACUUGAGUGCAGAAGAGGACAGUGGAACUCCAUGUGUAGCGGUGGAAUGCGUAGAUAUAUGGAAGAACACCAGUGGCGAAGGCGGCUGUCUGGUCUGCAACUGACGCUGAGGCUCGAAAGCAUGGGUAGCGAACAGGAUUAGAUACCCUGGUAGUCCAUGCCGUAAACGAUGAGUGCUAGGUGUUGGAGGGUUUCCGCCCUUCAGUGCCGGAGCUAACGCAUUAAGCACUCCGCCUGGGGAGUACGACCGCAAGGUUGAAACUCAAAGGAAUUGACGGGGGCCCGCACAAGCGGUGGAGCAUGUGGUUUAAUUCGAAGCUACGCGAAGAACCUUACCAGGUCUUGACAUCUUGCGCUAACCUUAGAGAUAAGGCGUUCCCUUCGGGGACGCAAUGACAGGUGGUGCAUGGUCGUCGUCAGCUCGUGUCGUGAGAUGUUGGGUUAAGUCCCGCAACGAGCGCAACCCUUGUUACUAGUUGCCAGCAUUGAGUUGGGCACUCUAGUGAGACUGCCGGUGACAAACCGGAGGAAGGUGGGGACGACGUCAGAUCAUCAUGCCCCUUAUGACCUGGGCUACACACGUGCUACAAUGGACGGUACAACGAGUCGCAAACUCGCGAGAGUAAGCUAAUCUCUUAAAGCCGUUCUCAGUUCGGACUGUAGGCUGCAACUCGCCUACACGAAGUCGGAAUCGCUAGUAAUCGCGGAUCAGCAUGCCGCGGUGAAUACGUUCCCGGGCCUUGUACACACCGCCCGUCACACCAUGGGAGUUUGUAACGCCCAAAGUCGGUGGCCUAACCUUUAUGGAGGGAGCCGCCUAA
rnacentral:rRNA from 1 species